rfam:Myotis lucifugus cont2.26775, whole genome shotgun sequence.
CGUGCAUCAGUGGGGUCCCUUGGCCUGGCCUGUGCCCUCUUGAAAUCCAGGACCCCUGCAGGCCAGGCCGAGGGACCCCACUGGUGCAUG